rnacentral:rRNA from 1 species
GACGAACCGUGCGAACGUUAUUCGGAAUCACUGGGCUUAAAGCGCGUGUAGGCGGCCCGGCACGUCGGACGCUGAAAUCCCCCGGCUCAACCGGGGAACGGGCGCCGAUACGACCGGGCUGGAGGGGGUAGGGGCGCCGGAACUUCCGGUGGAGCGGUGAAAUGCGUUGAGAUCGGAAGGAACGCCCGUGGCGAAAGCGGGCGCCUGGACCCCACCUGACGCUGAGACGCGAAAGCCAGGGAGCGAACGGG